CCACGCUGUAAACGAUGAAUACUAGGUGUGGGAGGACUGACCCCUUCCGUGCCGCAGUUAACACAAUAAGUAUUCCACCUGGGGAGUACGACCGCAAGGUUGAAACUCAAAGGAAUUGACGGGGGCCCGCACAAGCAGUGGAUUAUGUGGUUUAAUUCGACGCAACGCGAAGAACCUUACCAGGAUUUGACAUCCAACUAACGAAGUAGAGAUACAUUAGGUGCCCUUCGGGGAAAGUUGAGACAGGUGGUGCAUGGUUGU
rnacentral:rRNA from 1 species